rnacentral:rRNA from 1 species
UGGGGAAUCUUCCGCAAUGGGCGAAAGCCUGACGGAGCAAUGCCGCGUGGAGGUAGAAGGCCCACGGGUCGUAAACUCCUUUUCUCGGAGAAGAAGCAGUGACGGUAUCCGAAGAAUAAGCAUCGGCUAACUCUGUGCCAGCAGCCGCGGUAAGACAGGGGAUGCAAGCGUUAUCCGGAAUGAUUGGGCGUAAAGCGUCUGUAGGUGGCUCCUUAAGUCCGCUGUCAAAUCCCAGGGCUCAACCCUGGACAGGCGGUGGAAACUACUAAGCUGGAGUACGGUAGGGGCAGGGGGAAUUUCCGGUGGAGCGGUGAAAUGCGUAGAGAUCGGAAAGAACACCAAAGGCGAAGGCACCCUGCUGGGCCGACACUGACACUGAGAGACGAAAGCUAGGGGGGCGAAUGGG